GGAUCUGUCGCCUAGUGGCCUAUGGCGCACGGCUGGAAUCCGUGUUGGGUUAAUAGCCCUCGGGGGUUCGAAUCCCCCCAGAUCCGCCA
rnacentral:tRNA from 5 species